rnacentral:rRNA from 1 species
ACGGCAGCGCGGGGCAACCUGGCGGCGAGUGGCGAACGGGUGAGUAAUAUAUCGGAACGUACCCUGGAGUGGGGGAUAACGUAGCGAAAGUUACGCUAAUACCGCAUACGAUCUAAGGAUGAAAGUGGGGGAUCGCAAGACCUCAUGCUCCUGGAGCGGCCGAUAUCUGAUUAGCUAGUUGGCGGGGUAAAAGCCCACCAAGGCAACGAUCAGUAGCUGGUCUGAGAGGACGACCAGCCACACUGGAACUGAGACACGGUCCAGACUCCUACGGGAGGCAGCAGUGGGGAAUUUUGGACAAUGGGCGCAAGCCUGAUCCAGCAAUGCCGCGUGAGUGAAGAAGGCCUUCGGGUUGUAAAGCUCUUUCAGCCGGGAAGAAAUCACAUGGGUUAAUACCCUGUGUGGAUGACGGUACCGGAAUAAGAAGCACCGGCUAACUACGUGCCAGCAGCCGCGGUAAUACGUAGGGUGCGAGCGUUAAUCGGAAUUACUGGGCGUAAAGCGUGCGCAGGCGGUUUGUUAAGAUAGGCGUGAAAUCCCCGGGCUCAACCUGGGAACUGCGUUUAUGACUGGCAGGCUAGAGUAUGGCAGAGGGGGGUGGAAUUCCACGUGUAGCAGUGAAAUGCGUAGAGAUGUGGAGGAACACCGAUGGCGAAGGCAGCCCCCUGGGCCAAAACUGACGCUCAUGCACGAAAGCGUGGGGAGCAAACAGGAUUAGAUACCCUGGUAGUCCACGCCCUAAACGAUGUCUACUAGUUGUCGGGUCUUAAUUGACUUGGUAACGCAGCUAACGCGUGAA